UACAGAGGCCUCGAGCGUUAGGCGUAAUCACUGGGCUUAAAGCGUGUGUAGGUGGAUGCCUAAGUACUUUGUGAAAUCCCACGGCUUAACCGUGGAAUUGCUUGGUAUACUGGGUGUCUUGAGCCACUCAGGGGCUACUGGAACGAACGGUGGAGCGGUGAAAUGCGUAGAUAUCGUUUGGAACGCCAAUGGUGAAAACAAGUAGCUGGGGGUGUGCUGACACUGAGACACAAAAGCCAGGGGAGCAAACGGG
rnacentral:rRNA from 1 species